AUGGAUUCUUCUUCUUCAUCACCGCCAAACAACAACUCCCUCGCUUUCUCUCUUUCCAAUCACUUCCCAAACCCUUCUUCCUCUCACUCUACCUCUCCUCUCUCCCUUUUCCACUCCUUCACCUCUUAUCCAUCUCUAACACUCACAGGCAGCAACACGGUGGAUGCAUCACCGGAGGCACCAGGCCGCGUAGGGGCCACCAACCUCUCCAUAUUCACCGCUGCUCCCAAGUUUGAGGACUUUCUUGGCAGUUCCGCCACACCAGACACCACCGCCACGGGUGCACCGCCACAACUUCCGCAGUUCUCCACUGACAACAACCUAUACGAAUCGGAGCUCAAGACAACAAUAGCCGCGUGCUUUCCUCGCGGCUUCGCCGUCGAAGCAAGCACCGAACCUCAAAAGCCCUCUCCGAAGAAAACCGUGGACACCUUCGGCCAACGUACUUCCAUCUACCGUGGCGUCACCCGGCACAGAUGGACCGGAAGAUAUGAAGCUCAUCUAUGGGACAAUAGUUGUAGAAGGGAAGGACAGAGUAGGAAAGGAAGACAAGUUUAUUUGGGUGGUUAUGACAAAGAAGAUAAGGCAGCUAGAGCUUACGAUCUCGCUGCUCUCAAGUACUGGGGUCCAACAACCACCACCAACUUUCCGAUUUCCAACUAUGAGAAGGAGCUGGGGGAGAUGAAGAACAUGACGAGGCAGGAGUUUGUUGCUUCUCUACGAAGGAAGAGCAGUGGUUUCUCUAGGGGGGCCUCUAUAUACAGAGGAGUGACGAGACACCACCAGCAUGGCCGAUGGCAGGCGAGAAUAGGCAGAGUUGCCGGAAACAAAGACCUCUACCUUGGCACUUUCAGCACUCAAGAGGAAGCUGCCGAGGCCUAUGACAUUGCAGCUAUAAAAUUCAGGGGGUUAAAUGCAGUCACAAACUUCGACAUGAGUCGCUACGACGUGAAAAGCAUUGCAAACAGCACACUUCCCAUUGGGGGUUUGUCUAGCAAGAACAAGACAUCCGCGGAUUCAGCAUCUGAGAGCAAAAGCCACGAGGCAAGCCGAUCGGACGAACGAGAUCCGUCAUCGGCUUCAUCCGUGACCUUUGGAUCACAGCAGCAGCCUUCCAGCUCUACCUUAAGCUUUGCCAUCCCUAUCAAGCAAGACCCUUCAGAUUACUGGUCCAUCUUGGGGUACCACAAUCCUACUCUCGACAACAGUGGGGUCAGAAACACUACUAGUGUUACUACAACUUCACCCUUCCAAAUGGACCUCUCAAGUGCCCCCUCAAAUACCGGCAGUGAAAACAACGCCGCGUUUUUCAGUGGAGGAGGCAUCUUUGUUCAGCAUCAAAGUGGUCAUGGUCAUGGUAAUGGGAAUGGUAAUGGUCAUGGUCAUGGUCAUGGAAAUGGAAGCAGCGGUUCUUUAAGCUGUUCAAUCCCAUUCGCCACGCCCAUCUUUUCUCUAAAUAGCAAUACUAGUUAUGAGAGCAGUGCUGGUUACGGCAACUGGAUUGGACCUACUCUGCACACAUUCCAAUCCCAUGCAAAACCAAGUCUCUUUCAAACCCCAAUAUUUGGCAUGGAAUGAGCUCAUGCACGAGGUAGGAUGAGAAUCUGUGCAUAUAAUGAUGAAAGGGGAAGGAAAGUAGCGGUGAUGGUGUUUUAGCAUGCAACACAACGCAAUGCAACGCAAGGACAAACGGACUAGUCUCUUUAGCUGAUGCACCAUUUGAAUGAGUUGGACUGACAGUCAUAAUUCAUCAGAACCGUAGCUAGACCUAGCUGACACUGUACAUAUGUUUAUCCGCUUUGGAUGUUUUUUUGUCCAUCGGGUGCGACCAGUGUGCUACGGAAAAAGCUGAGAAUAUAUUCGUUGAUUUAGCCUCGGAAGAAUUUGAAACCUGGCGUUUAUCGUGAGUGCUUCUUUCUCUUUCGGCUAGACUCGUUUCACAUGCAGCCACACCUCUCUCUCUCUCUCUCUCUCUCUCUUUCUCUGUACUUUAUAUAGUCAGUCAUUUGCUUUUACUUUUUACUAGGAACAAAAUUUUAAUGAUAUUUUCUUUUUGGAAGAGUGCAUA